UCGAGGAUCUUUGGCAAUGGACGCAAGUCUGACCAAGCGACGCCGCGUGUGCGAUGAAGGCCUUCGGGUUGUAAAGCACUGUCGAGAGGGAGGAAGCCGAAAGGUUGACCUAUCCCUGGAGGAAGCACGGGCUAAGUUCGUGCCAGCAGCCGCGGUAAGACGAACCGUGCGAACGUUGUUCGGAAUCACUGGGCUUAAAGGGCGCGUAGGCGGGCAACCAAGUCCGAGGUGAAAUCCUCCAGCUUAACUGGAGAAGUGCCCCGGAUACUGGUGGCCUCGAGGAUGGUAGGGGCAUCUGGAACUAGCGGUGGAGCGGUGAAAUGCGUUGAUAUCGCUAGGAACUCCGGUGGCGAAGGCGAGGUGCUGGACCAUUUCUGACGCUGAGGCGCGAAAGCCAGGGGAGCGAACGGGAUUAGAUACCCCGGUAGUCC
rnacentral:rRNA from 1 species